UACGUAGGGGGCGAGCGUUGUCCGGAAUUAUUGGGCGUAAAGAGCUCGUAGGCGGUCGCGGAAGUCGGAUGUGAAAUAUCGGGGCUCAACCCCGGGACGUCGUUCGAUACUCCGCUGACUAGAGUCCGGUAGGGGAAGGUGGAAUUCCUGGUGUAGCGGUGAAAUGCACAGAUAUCAGGAGGAACACCGGUGGCGAAGGCGGCCUUCUGGGCCGGUACUGACGCUGAGGAGCGAAAGCUAGGGGAGCGAACAGG
rnacentral:misc_RNA from 1 species